UCCGAGUUGUCCCCGGCAGUCCUCUUAGAGUCCCCGGCAUUACCCGCUGGCAACUAAGAGCAGGGGUUGCGCUCGUUGCGGCACUUAAGCCAACACCUCACGACACGAGCUGACGACAGCCAUGCACCACCUAUCGCGGACCCCGAAGGACACCGUAUUUCUACGGCUUUUCCCUACAUGUCAAACCCAGGUAAGGUUCUUCGCGUUGCCUCGAAUUAAGCAACAUGCUCCGCCGCUUGUGCGAGCCCCCGUCAAUUCCUUUGAGUUUUAGCCUUGCGGCCGUACUCCCCAGGCGGGGCACUUAAUGCGUUAGCUACGGCACGGAACCCGUUGAAAAGGUCCCACACCAAGUACGCAUCGUUUAGGGCGUGGACUAC
rnacentral:misc_RNA from 1 species